GGCAGCAGCGGCGGCGGCGGGGCUGCGUGGUGGGAACCGGUGGUUGGUUCCAGGUAAACGAAGUGCCGCGCAGUGCUGACUCCGCCGCCCGCCGCUGAGCCAUGGAGAUUGGCACCGAGAUCAGCCGCAAGAUUCGGAGUGCCAUUAAGGGGAAGUUGCAAGAAUUAGGAGCUUACGUGGAUGAAGAACUUCCUGAUUACAUUAUGGUGAUGGUGGCCAACAAGAAAAGUCAGGACCAAAUGACAGAGGACCUGUCCCUGUUUCUAGGGAACAACACAAUUCGAUUCACC